rnacentral:rRNA from 1 species
GUUUGAUCCUGCUAAAUCAACGCUGCGGCGUCCUAACACAUGCAAGUCGAACAGAAAGCGGGGGCAACUCCGCGAGUAAGUGGCGACCGGGUAGUAACACGUACUAACCUACCCUUGAGUGGGGGAUAACCCCGGGAAACCGGGGCUAAUACCGCAUAACGUGCGCGGGGGCAGUUCCUGCGUACCAAAGGAGUAAUCCGCUCUUGGAGGGGGUCGCGGCUGAUUAGCUAGUUGGCAGGGUAAUGGCCUACCAAGGCGAUGAUCAGUAGCCGGCCUGAGAGGGCGCACGGCCACACUGGAACUGAAACACGGUCCAGACUCCUACGGGAGGCAGCAGUGGGGAAUUUUGCGCAAUGGGGGAAACCCUGACGCAGCAACGCCGCGUGGAGGAUAAGGUCCUUGGAUUGUAAACUCCUUUCGAGCGGGACGAUGAUGACGUCCGCUAGAAAAGCACCGGC